rnacentral:rRNA from 1 species
UGAGGAAUAUUGGUCAAUGGAGGCAACUCUGAACCAGCCAUGCCGCGUGCAGGAUGACGAUCCUAUGGAUUGUAAACUGCUUUUGUACAGGAAGAAAUGCAAUUACGUGUAAUUGUUUGACGGUACUGUAAGAAUAAGGACCGGCUAACUCCGUGCCAGCAGCCGCGGUAAUACGGAGGGUCCGAGCGUUAUCCGGAAUUAUUGGGUUUAAAGGGUUCGUAGGCGGUUUUGUAAGUCAGUGGUGAAAUCUCCUAGCUUAACUAGGAAAUUGCCGUUGAUACUGUGAGACUUGAAUCAUUAGGAAGUAACUAGAAUAUGUAGUGUAGCGGUGAAAUGCUUAGAGAUUACAUGGAAUACCAAUUGCGAAGGCAGGUUACUACUAAUUGAUUGACGCUGAUGAACGAAAGCGUGGGUAGCGAACAGG